rnacentral:rRNA from 1 species
GAUGAACGCUAGCGGGAGGCUUAAUACAUGCAAGUCGAACGGUAACAUGAGAGCUUGCUCUUGAUGACGAGUGGCGCACGGGUGAGUAACGCGUACACGACCUACCUUAUACAGGGGGAUAGCCUUUGGAAACGGAGAUUAAUACCCCAUAGUAUUGUGAUGAACUUUGCAAUUAAAGCUUCGGUGGUAUAAGAUGGGUGUGCGUACUAUUAGAUAGUUGGUGAGGUAACGGCUCACCAAGUCGACGAUAGUUAGGGGGCGUGAGAGCGUGGCCCCCCACACGGGUACUGAGACACGGACCCGACUCCUACGGGAGGCAGCAGUAAGGAAUAUUGGACAAUGGGCGCAAGCCUGAUCCAGCCAUCCCGCGUGGAGGAUGACGGCCCUCUGGGUUGUAAACUCCUUUUGUACAGGACGAAUAGCAGUCAUUUAUGAUUGUGUGACGGUACUGUAAGAAUAAGCACCGGCUAACUCCG